UGACCCAGACUGCAACAAGACAAGCGGCGAGUGCCACUGCAAGGAGAACCACUACCGGCCCCCAGGCAGCCCCACCUGCCUCUUGUGUGACUGCUACCCCACAGGCUCUUUGUCCCGAGUCUGUGACCCUGAGGACGGCCAGUGUCCAUGCAAGCCAGGUGUCAUCGGGCGUCAGUGUGACCGCUGUGACAACCCUUUUGCUGAGGUCACCACCAAUGGCUGUGAAGUGAAUUACGACAGCUGCCCACGAGCGAUUGAGGCUGGGAUCUGGUGGCCCCGUACCCGCUUCGGGCUGCCCGCUGCUGCUCCCUGUCCCAAAGGCUCCUUUGGUAGGUGUUGGAGGCCCCGAUGUGAUAUCGAGGACAUGGCCUCUGCCGUUAGUGGGAUGAGGGCAGGAAGCUCCUGGCUGAAGAUCCGGGGACCCCACUUUCUGGCCUCCAGGUCCUGGGAUUUCAUUUCCCAUCUUCCUUGGCUCACGUUCCCCCUUCCCCAUGGUGCCCAGGUGUGCCUACAUCUUGGACUGUUUUGUUUUGUUUUGUUUUUGUUUUUGUUUUCUGAGACAGA
rnacentral:sRNA from 1 species